rnacentral:rRNA from 1 species
AAUCAACGCUGGCGGCGCGCUUAACACAUGCAAGUCGAGCGAGAAAGGGGAGCAAUCCCUGAGUACAGCGGCGUACGGGUGAGUAACACGUGGGUGAUCUACCUUCUAGUGUGGAAUAACCCUGGGAAACCGGGGCUAAUACCGCAUAAGCCUGUGAAGGGAAAGCAGCAAUGCGCUGGAAGAGGAGCCCGCGGCCGAUUAGCUAGUUGGUGAGGUAACGGCCCACCAAGGCGAUGAUCGGUAGCCGGCCUGAGAGGGCACACGGCCACACUGGCACUGAACACGGGCCAGACUCCUACGGGAGGCAGCAGUGGGGAAUCUUGCACAAUGGAGGCAACUCUGAUGCAGCGACGCCGCGUGAGCGAUGAAGCCCUUCGGGGUGUAAGCUCUUUCGGCAGGGACGAUAAUGACGGUACCUGAAGAAGAAGCUGCGGCUAACUACGUGCCAGCCGCCGCAGUAAG